GCAUCUAUCAAAUCUUCAUCUGUUCCAUCAUUUGAAACUGCUGGACGGGUAUCACUAGAUCCAUAAUUCUCAUUUAGAACGAACGACUCAUCAGAAGCCACAGAAGUUCCUCGUGAAAGUGUAUUAUCUGCUGGUGUUUCACGAUAUGGAGAAGUAUCCAUCGGUGAGUAAGGUUCGGAAGGUUCCGCAUUCUCUUCUGAACUUCCUCUUAGGACAAAGUCAUGAGCAAAGUUCACUGGCGUCGAGAGUGUUUGCUUAGGUUUCAUUUUCUUUUUCUUGUAUCUGGGAUCUCUAGUUGCUUCCCUUCUAGUUUCAACUUUCUUAUUUAAGCUUCCUUUAACAGUUGGUAUAAGAUUUUGCAUUAGCUUACCAUCAGACUU
rnacentral:misc_RNA from 1 species